rnacentral:rRNA from 1 species
UACGGGAGGCAGCAGGGGGAAUAUUGCACAAUGGGCGAAAGCCUGAUGCAGCUAUGCCGCGUGUAUGAAGAAGGCCUUAGGGUUGUAAAGUACUUUCAUCGGGGAGGAAAAAACAAAACUAAUAAUUUUAUUUCUUGACGUUACCCGAAAAAGAAGCACCGGCUAACUCCGUGCCAGCAGCCGCGGUAAUACGGAGGGUGCUAGCGUUAAUCAGAAUUACUGGGCGUAAAGAGCACGUAGGUGGUUUUUUUAAAGUCAGAUGUGAAAUCCCUGGGCUUAACCUGGAACUGCAUUUUGAAACUGAAAUACUAGAGUAUCGUAGAGGGAGGUAGAAUUCUAGGUGUAGCGGUUGAAAUGCGUAGAUAUCUGGAGGAAUACCUGUGGCGAAAGCGGCCUCCUAAACGAAUACUGACACUGAGGGUGCGAAAGCGUGGGGAGCAAACAGGGAUUAGAUACC